rnacentral:sRNA from 1 species
UCUGGGUAUGGUAGUGCGUACCUGUAAUCCCAGCAACUCAGGAGGCUGAGGCAGGAGGAUCGCAACUUGGAAUCCAGCCUCAGCAAUUAGCAAGACCCGAAGCUACUUAGUGAAACCCUGUCUCAA